AGAAUGAACGCUAGCGGCGUGCUUAACACAUGCAAGUCGUACAAGAACUCUUUAGCUUGCUAAAGAUAGUAAAGUGGCGCACGGGUGAGUAACGCGUGGGUAAUCUACCUCGGAAUUUGGGAUAACUCCGCGAAAGCGGGGCUAAUACCGGAUAAUAUUUCAGGAUCUUCGGAUUUUGAAAUCAAAAGUGGUCUCUACAUGUAAGCUACUGUUUGGAGAUGAGCCCGCGUACCAUUAGCUUGUUGGUAGGGUAAUGGCCUACCAAGGCUACGAUGGUUAGCUGGUCUGAGAGGAUGAUCAGCCACACUGGAACUGACACACGGUCCAGACUCCUACGGGAGGCAGCAGUGGGGAAUUUUGCGCAAUGGGGGAAACCCUGACGCAGCAACGCCGCGUGAGUGAUGAAGGCUUUCGGGUCGUAAAGCUCUGUCAAGUGGGAAGAACAUGGAAAAUGUUAAUAUCAUUUUUUACUGACGGUACCACUAAAGGAAGCACCGGCUAACUCCGUGCCAGCAGCCGCGGUAAUACGGGGGGUGCAAGCGUUAUUCGGAAUUAUUGGGCGUAAAGGGCGCGUAGGCGGUCUUUUAAGUCAGAUGUGAAAGCCCGGGGCUUAACCCCGGAAGUGCAUUUGA
rnacentral:rRNA from 1 species